rnacentral:rRNA from 1 species
UACGGAGGGUGCGAGCGUUGUUCGGAAUCACUGGGCGUAAAGCGCGUGUAGGCGGCCUAUUAAGUCUGGUGUGAAAGCCCGGGGCUCACCCCCGGAAGUGCACUGGAAACUGGAAGGCUUGAGUACCGGAGAGGAGGGUGGAAUUCCUGGUGUAGCGGUGAAAUGCGUAGAUAUCAGGAGGAACACCGGUGGCGAAGGCGGCCCUCUGGACGGAUACUGACGCUGAGACGCGAAAGCGUGGGGAGCAAACAGG